GGAAGGGUGGCUCAGUGGUAGAGCACCACCGUUUGACGGUGGGAGCCUGACAGGCUUCGCGUGGUUCGAAUCCCGCCCCUUCCG
rnacentral:tRNA from 1 species